UACAGAGGGUGCGAGCGUUGUCCGGAAUCACUGGGCGUAAAGGGCGCGUAGGUGGCGGCCCAAGUCCGUGGUGAAAGCUCGCCGCUUAACGGCGAGUCGGCCACGGAGACUGGGUGGCUCGAGCACUGUAGGGGCAGAUGGAAUUCCGGGUGUAGCGGUGGAAUGCGUAGAGAUCCGGAAGAACACCAGUGGCGAAGGCGGUCUGCUGGGCAGUUGCUGACGCUGAGGCACGAAGGCCAGGGGAGCAAACGGG
rnacentral:rRNA from 1 species